rnacentral:tRNA from 1 species
AUUCAAGUAGUUUAGUUAAAAUAUUAAUUUGUGGAGUUAAAGAUACCUUGUGGUCUUGGAUA